ensembl:lncRNA
GAUAUAUUUAGUUUUUUCUGUAUCUCUUAUCCAGACCAGUUUUAGUGGUGAUAAAAUGAGUUGAGUGUUCGAGAUGAUGUGUGUACAGUAUGUGAUGCCAUUGUGCUUCAUCCAUAAUGUAAAGCGCCAGACCUAAUAUAUUGUGAAAUUGAUUUUCUAUUUAUUUGAAAUUGAAUGUUUUUCAUAAAAAAAAUAAUGGAUAAUGUACAACAAAUGAAUGAAAACCAAUGUCUUUUGUCCAUGUGUCAAACAAACAACAACAACAACAAAAAAACCCAGUCCUUUUACAGUGCCACUUUUUAAAUAAUGCGCUUUAAACUAAUUAAUUGUUACUACUGAGGUGAUUUCUUUUUGUUAAUACCCUUUUAAACAAACAAACAGCAAGCUUUUUUGGUAUGGGCAUAUAUUUCUAGAAACCCCCCUGGCCAAAUUCUCAAUCUAAGCUAUUGUUUUAUUAAUCCUGAAUAGCCGCAUUCAUUGAUAAUGUUUUGGAAGUGGAAAAUCCGCACUUAAUUUAAAAGAAAUCCCCAAAUUUUAAAGGUGCAGUUUUGCCUUACUGAAGAAAAAGUGCUGUAAUAUCAACCAAAAUCCAUAAGUCCAUUGUGGUGGGGGGGAGAACCUGUCCUAGUCGGUGAUGGUUGAAAUACUGUACUUUACAUGUGACGUCGUCUCAUGUAGUUUGUAUACUUGUAGUAAGUACAAAUGAUUUGAAAGGGUCUUUCUUUUUCUUUUCAUACCUAAAUAGAAUCAACUGAGUAACCUGCAGUAUUUCUUCAGUAAGCAGUAAUGUAUGUUGCCAAAGUGAUGGAGCUAACAUAGUGAAGCACUCGGUAGGUUCUUUCCAUCUGUUUAGACAUGAAGUGAUGCGUCCUUUGUGAUGGUAUGCUGUGCAUUUAAAUCAAAAUACACAAGUUCUAUUUUCUUGGAGGAAAAAAAGAAAGGAGAUUUGAGUGUCAAUGUAGGCAAUUGGAGAGGGGGGGAAAAAAAGGCAAGCACAUUUUGUAACCCAUUUUGAAACAUUUAUAUUGUUAAGUGACUAAUCCUUGAAAUGUUAUUUGCACUUUCAUAGUCUAUACUUGAUACAUUCCCACUUUAUAUGGAAAAAAAAAUAAAUAUAUAUAAUAUAUAAAUGGUUGAUGUUUGGCCAAUACAUUUGACUGAACCGAGUAUGAAACUCAAUAAAGUUAUUAAGCCCCCCACAAAAGCUGGACUUUCCGCUUGAAAUUACUGUAGUAUGUAUAACUGUAGUUCUCAGUCCAAGUGCUGGGUGCUCCGUGCUUUUGCUAAUUUCUCUUAUCAGCUGAAGUGUGAUGGAACAUGGGGGGGGGGGGCACCAAAAUUUGGUGAUCAUGGUGUGGAAUAGAGAAGCUGUGAUGUGUAGAGUGAUCGCAAGCCUCAGGCUUCUACAUGAUACAAAACAUUUUGAUUCUUAAGGCAAUGAUUCGAUAUUGGACAAUACUACUGAAUCUGCUUUGAUCUGAUCUGAUGUGAUGCGAUUGGAUUUAGUAGCCUCUUAUCAAUAUGUGUCCAACUUCGUUCAGUAUAUGGGAUGGGCCUACUGUAAAUUUGCAAAUGAUUAUGAUGUAGAGAAGGACUAUUGUAUGUAUCAGAGUUACAGGCAAAUCCCCUUGCUAACCUAUUAAAUAGUUUACACAUCAGUUUACAAAAAAAUCUCGAUUAUUAUUACAUAACAGUUCUCAUUUGUAGUCCGUUAUAACGGAUAGAUGAUCAAUUUAUGAUUCAUGCCUUGGUUAAUUUCCACCGUUGCCUUUUAAGUAGGUACAUCGAUCCAAAUUGUCCGAUUGUUACACCCCUAGUGACCAACAAGCAUUAAGUUAAUAGUAAAACAGAUUUUAUAUUUUACUUUUUCAUGUCCACUUGAAAACAUUAUAAUUCUAUACAGGGAGUUCAGUUGAGAACGUCCAAACGUUAGUGAACAAAACGCUACCCUAUCUUAAACCAAUUCCAUAGAGGAUUGAGGGUGUGAUGCUUUCCAGACGUUGCACUGCCGAGCUCAAACAUGAUUCAUUUGCAUCAUUAACUGGAAAAUGUAUGUGUUUGUGGUAAAUACCUCUGAUUUGUUAUAGGCCAGGGAUUUAACAUUUAGCAGUGGUGUUGAUUUAAGAUAUUAAACACGUCGGUCAUUGGUCAAGGUGAUUGAAAUGCUGUCUUGACAGUCCCACAGCGACAAUAGAAACACAAAUAUAGUAGUCUUUUUAACUCUGCAGGGAUUAGGGAGGGAGCUUUAUUAUGGUUAAAUGUCAGAUUAAAUUACAUUAUGGGGAAACUGUAAUACGGUGGUUCUGAACUCUGGAGCAAAGAUCGUGCAGCACCAGCGAUGGAAACCAUUAUUCACUUAUUAGAUGAAGUAAAGAUUCUUAUCGGGCUUGUCAAGGAUUCCUUACUCUUAAACACUCGUUAAACACAGGGGGUUUCAAAAAAAAAAUAAUAAUCUUGACACUGAUUUCCUGUAAUGUUUUGGUUUGAUUUCUGAGAAAGCUUAAGUAUAUAUUUGUGUACAAAUACAGACUGUGACUGAUGAUGAUGCAACCAAUUGCAGAUUGAUCUCACUUAGGGGUGUAUGAAAACAGGGUGAUUUUUCUGUUAUACUCCAAGAGUCCAGUAGAGUGUAGUAAGCUCCCACAGAAAGAGUUCCGUCUGUUCUGCUACUCUGUGUGUGUGUGUGUGUGUGUGUGUGUGUGUGUGUGUGUGUGUGUGUGUGUGUGUGUGUGUGUCUGGCAGACGCUCCUGGCACGCUCCACCCUAGACGUGAUUUCGAGAGGAAGAACCAAAAGGUUCCUCUAGUGGCUAUUAAAGUAUGUACACAUCCGGCUUGAUAUUCCCACAGUCUAGCCAUCACAAGUUGCUUAAAGGAGAUACUGUACAUAGAGUAUAGAAACAUUUGUUUUCCAGAGGGAAAAUGUUUUUGUUACAGUAGAAUAUACAGUACUGUGCAACAGUCUUAAGCAUGUGUAAAGAACUGCUGUAAAGCAAAGAUGCCAUCAAAAAUCAUGAAAUAAAGGAAGUUGGUAUUUGGUGUGAUAACGCAGUAGUCUCAGGUACACUUUGUGCAGUUUUAUAAGGAAAAGAGCUGGUACAUGUUUGUAAGCUUCUUGGAGAAUCUGCCACAGGGUUAUUUUUUUGUUCUGUGUGUGGGGUUUUAUUUUUUUUUUAUUUAAUUUUUUUUUUUUUGGAGACUUUGACACCUCUUUCUGUAGGUAAAUCCUGAUCCCCUACAAUAUGUUUCUUGCCUGGAAAGGGGUCUAUUAUAUAAUAUCAUACUUCCUUUAUUCACAUACAAACAUCUGAAAUUAAGUAAAAACAGUAAAUAAAUAAUCGGGUGCCUAAGACUUUUGCACAACGACGUAUGUAAAGUGAUGUGCUGAUUUCAUGAAUAUUACUUCAGACAAAAUAUGACUCGUAAGACAUAAUGGUUUUAAUGUUGACUUGUAGGACAAAAUGUUGCCACUAUCAUAACAAUCAGGAUUUAUUUUCAGUAUGUUCAUAGACCACAUAGAAAAUGAAAUUUGAAUAGUAGGUGGGUGAAAUAACUUUUACUGGUGCAACAGGAAGUAUGUUUAGCAAGCUUGUUUGAACUGUUUUUUGUGUGUGGGUUUUUAUUUUUUUUAUUUUAUUGAAUUUCACUAGAACAGAUUUACCAACUAUGGAAAAAUGUUUUAAUUAAAUAGUGAUGUUUCAAACUUCAUGUUAACACAUUUUCUUUUUAUUUUAUGUGUUCCUAUGUAUCGCACACAUUUUCGUCUUUUGUUACACCUCGAUCCUUGAAGUACAAUAUUUCAUCCCACUGUACUUGUCGAUGUUGAUGGAUGACUUUAAAAUCUACUUGUCUUGAAUGGGCUCAGUCUAGGCUAGCUGAAUCUACUGACAUCUGAACAGUACACUUAGGCGCAUAUUCACAAUUUGCAGAAUUGUGUGCAUUUGCAACUGCUUUUACAAACCACACAUACAGUAUGCAUUUGCCAGGACUGCCUACUGUGUGAACAAGGCCCUUAAGUUGCCCAAUUGGGUUUGCUGGAGCUUUAUCUGCAAGAUACUCCUCAUAACAUGGGCUUGUUGUACAUCCAAUUCCAGGCAGAGAUCUGCUAAAGAUCCAGUCCUUAUGAAGUACCUGCUUAGUUUGCAAGAGAUGUUCCCGCUGUAUGUGGCAAUGAUGGAAAAAUUCCAUGUUGGAGCUGUCUGGUAUUCAUUUGUUGCCACACACAAACACACGGGUGGUUUUCAUCCAAAUACCAGGGCUUUGGUCAUUAGUUUACUUUCCUUAUUACUAUAAAUUGGCUUAUGUGGUUUUACUGCACACUUAUAAUUAGGUUCUUCCCUUUGUAGGGCACAGAACCUCGUUUACCUUCCUGUGAGCUUAGACUAAACAGAUGCUGGUCAGUCCAAGUUCAUUAUUCACUAUGUAUCCUGACUGUAAGUUAUCCAUUAGUGAAUUUUGUUGUCAAAGUGAAUUACUAACAAGUCUUCAAGUUAGUCAAAGCAUUCUUCGAUUUUAAAAAUGAAACCUAAUUUUAAUAGGAUUUCCAACUUUCCCUUGAAAACAAUUGAAAUUUGUUUGAAAAGUAUAACAUGCUUCUAAAUAAAUACCACCAUUUUCUUU